AUGCGCGAGCCGGCCCCGCGGAGCCGGCCGGGGCGGGGAGAUGAGCGGCGGCCCGGCAGCGGCACCCCAGAAAGAGGAGGGUGGGACGGCGGCUGGCCAGCUCCCGGGCGCGCUGGAAGAUCCGCCGCACAUUUUCCUCCGUCUCCCCGGGCCGGGCGCCCUGCAGCGCGGGGGCGCUCACCGCCAGGAGCUCCGCGCCCGUCUCCCGGGCCACUGCCCGCACUAGCUGGGUCUUGCCCACUCCCGGGGGGCCGGCCAAGAGCANNNNNNNNNNNNNNNNNNNNNNNNNNNNNNNNNNNNNNNNNNNNNNNNNNNNNNNNNNNNNNNNNNNNNNNNNNNNNNNNNNNNNNNNNNNNNNNNNNNNGGCCCUCCUGCCGCCGCAGCGAGUCGGCCGCCUCCGAAAGGCCCCCCAGGGGCACCUCGGGCUGCGGCUCCUCUUCCGACGGAGGCACCUCGCUCAGACUGAUGUGGGUGCGAGGGGUGACCAGCCCAGCCGGAUUCGGGCUGGGCGCCCCGCUAACGAUGUGCAGGGCGGCCACUGGACCCGGAGUGCCUGGAGGAGCGGCCACCACGUGGCCCUGAGAGACUGGACGGUUCCUCAGCAGCUCCUAGAGCACAGCGGCUGGACUCGGGGCACCAGACGCACCCGCUUGCUCCCUCAACUCCGGCCACACCGCGAGGCGCCGAAGGGGCGGGCAGGGCACUAAGCGGAGUCGGUUCAGGUUAAUAACGCCCCCAGACCCCAGCGCGCCCACUGCCGUCCCCGGGCUCGUACACUGCGGGUCCAGCUGCACAAAGCCGUCCGCUCCAUCCCGCCGCGGCCCGGGCAGGAGCCACCGUCAGGCAGCGAGAUCUUCACAGCCGAGCCCAGGUGGGCGCCUAAGGCGCGGAGGGCGGUAGGGCCGAGACGACAGCGCUGGGUGCCCCGAUCCCUAGUUUCUACGGGUAGCAGCUUUAAGGGAGGUCCUUCCGGAAAGGAACCCGAGUCCGGAGCCAUUUCUCACGAAAGACUCGAAAGCCAGGAAAAUCGGACAGGAAUUCCACCGGGCCGGAAAGACCGGCGCACCGUGGCCGGAAGCAGGUGAUGCGCAUGCGCCAGGGAAGCCGCUGAAGCUGGUCCUGAUAGGUGGAAAGGACCAAUGGGAAGUUAGACUAAGUUAGACAAUGAUGGGACGGUCAGGCUAGUUUGCCGCGGUGUUGGGUUUGGUAAAAUCUCGUGGCCCUUUUUAUAGCUUUGCAGACACUAUGGCUGACUUCCAGAGUCCAUAGUCACUUACUGACCUCUGCUGUCUGUUUCCAGCUCCUAGGUUGGAACAACCUAAAACCAGGAAACUACUGAGAGGAGAUCCUGAGAUGGGGAAAUCACCAAUUAAACCCUGUUUUCUUCUUUCUCUUAAUCCCAUUGCUUUCUAUUCUCUUUGAAGAAUAAAGGCUGUAAAUUCAGACUUCUCAAGAACAGCUUUGUAAUUUCUAAAAAUUUUUAUUGGCAUAUAGUUGCUUUAUAAUGUUUCUACUGUACAGCAAAGUGAAUCAUGUAUCCUCUUUUUUGGAUUUCCUUCCCACUUAGGUCACCACAGAGCAUUUAGUAGAGUUCCCUAUACAGUAGGGUCUCAUUAGUUAUCUAUUUUAUACAUAACAUGAAUAGUGUAUAUAUGUCAAUCCCAAUCUCCCAAUUCCAGCCACAACCCUUCCCUCUUAGUAUCCACACAGCUGUUCUCUAUGUCUCUGUCUUUACUCUUGCUUUGUCUGAGGAGGCCUUACAAAUAUCUGUGGAAACAAGAGAAGCAAAAAGCAAAGGAGAAAAGGAAAGAUAUACCCAUAUAGCUAGUGGAGGUGAUGGAAUUCCAGUUGAGCUGUUUCAAAUCCUGAAAGAUAAUGCUGUGAAAGUGCUGCACUCAAUGUGCCAGCAAGUUUGGAAAACUCAGCAGUGGCCACAGGACUGGAAAAGGUCAGUUUUGAUUCCAAUCCCCAAGAAAGGCAAUGUCAAAGAAUGCUUGAACUACUGCACAAUUACACUCAUCUCACAUGCUAGUAAAGUAAUGCUCAAAAUUCUCCAAGCGAGGCUUCAACAGUAAGUGAACCAAGAACUUCCAGAUGUUCAAGCUGGAUUUAGAAAAGGCAGAGGAACCAGAGAUCAAAUUGCCAACAUCCGUUGGAUCAUGGAAAAAGCAAGAGAGUUCCAGAAAAAACAUCUAUUUCUGCUUUAUUGACUAUG
ensembl:lincRNA